rnacentral:lncRNA from 1 species
GGCCAGUACCACCAGCAGCAGCUGGACAUAGCGGAGGAGCUGCAGGACAGAGCUGCACAGGGACGAGCUUCAUCCAACCUGGUUGUCCAGAGAGGAUGGCAGCCUGUCUCUCCCCUCUGGAGGAUGACCUGUCAUGUCCCAUCUGCUGUGAGAUCUUCACAGACCCAUCAUCCUCUACUGCAGCCAUAGCUACUGCAGGACCUGCCUGGAGGCCACCUGGAAGCAGGACGGGACCAAGGUCUGCUCUGUCUGCAGACAGACGUUUCCCGGC